AUUGAACGCUGGCGGCAGGCCUAACACAUGCCAGUCGAGCGGAUGAAGGGAGCUUGCUCCUGGAUUCAGCGGCGGACGGGUGAGUAAUGCCUAGGAAUCUGCCUGGUAGUGGGGGAUAACGUCCGGAAACGGGCGCUAAUACCGCAUACGUCCUGAGGGAGAAAGUGGGGGAUCUUCGGACCUCACGCUAUCAGAUGAGCCUAGGUCGGAUUAGCUAGUUGGUGGGGUAAAGGCCUACCAAGGCGACGAUCCGUAACUGGUCUGAGAGGAUGAUCAGUCACCCUGGCACUGAGACACGGUCCAGACUCCUACGGGUGGCAGCAGUGUGGAAUAUUGGACAAUGGUCGAAAGCCUGAUCCAGCCAUGCCGCGUGUGUGAAGAAGGUCUUCGGAUUGUAAAGCACUUUAAGUUGGGAGGAAGGGCAGUAAGUUAAUACCUUGCUGUUUUGACGUUACCAACAGAAUAAGCACCGGCUAACUUCGUG
rnacentral:rRNA from 1 species